AAAAAAGAUAAUUCUUCAGGUCACCACCGUGUGAAUUGCGAAUACGAAGAAGAGCUGGCAGAAGUCCUCGAAAAGGAGCACAGUGUGAAUCAGAGGCUGCUCUUGGAGCCUGAAAAAACAAUCCUGCCUAGUGCAAGCUCAGAGUAAGUGAAAGUUACUUAAUUUGUGGAAUACCCUGGAAUUCACAUGGCACCCGUACAAUUACUUUCAACAGGACUAGCACCACUGAAGCACCUCAGGAUAUACCAGUCCCAGCUGAGGGCAACACAGCAUCAAAAGUUGAGAGCAGCACAACAUCAAAAAGGAAGCGCCGCAGUAGGUCCAACGUCACGCCGCUCUUGGAGGCUUUAGAAAAAAUACAAGCAUCGUGAGCUAGGCAAGAGGAAGCAGGAACGAAGCAACUGGAGGAAAGAAAAA
rnacentral:lncRNA from 1 species